rnacentral:rRNA from 1 species
UACGGAGGGAGCUAGCGUUAUUCGGAAUUACUGGGCGUAAAGGGUGCGUAGGCGGGUCUUUAAGUCAGAGGUGAAAUCCUGGAGCUCAACUCCAGAACUGCCUUUGAUACUGAGGAUCUUGAGUUCGGGAGAGGUGAGUGGAACUGCGAGUGUAGAGGUGAAAUUCGUAGAUAUUCGCAAGAACACCAGUGGCGAAGGCGGCUCACUGGCCCGGUACUGACGCUGAGGUGCGAAAGCGUGGGGAGCAAACAGG